ensembl:lncRNA
CUUGACACCAUUUAGGGAAUACUAUGUUGGAAAUGUGCAGCUGUUCAGAUCCCCACCAGCACCACCCCUUGAGAUGAGAGGACCGGAGGAACAGGAAAGAAGUCGUCAACCCUACCGUCUCUAAAUGAACCAGGGAGGCUUCAUGCAAACGGCCUCACCACUUGGCAGAGGGCCCUGUUCGCUGGACACGUGCUCCGUGAAAGAAGUGGGCCUCACGUCUCACUGCCGUAGCCCUGUUCGAAUACAGGCCUGGCAUGCUUGGGAUUGCCUCUCGGAUUGGGUCGCCACAAGAAGUGGGAAGUAACGAAUUGAUCCUGCCUGUUGUCAGGCCCUGCUCUAGGCUUUCGCAUACAUCAUCUCCUUCCAGUUGCACAGCCUCCUGGUGAGGUAGGAGUGUCAUUCCCAGCGUACAAAUGAGAAAACGAAGCUCACGAGGGAGUAAGUUUUAGCCCCAGAGUCAUAAAGCUGGGUAAGUGGUGGAGCUGAGAUUCAAACAGGUCUUUCCACUAGAGAAAAUCGAACAACUGUUACAAAAUUGGUCUCCCUGACUCCACGCCGCCCUGACUGGAACACGAUGCACAAAUCUUGGAUUUGCAAACUAUCAACCUGGUUGUGGAGCCAACGUGCUGAUUUGCGGUGGAGAAGCCGAGGUCACGACUUGGCAUGGCACGUGGUGGCAGUAAAUACAAGGACGAAAGUGUCAGCUGGCAGAUUAGUUUUCUGGUCAGAGGGGAAACACAACUGUGUAAUGCGAGGGAUCAGACUGGUCAUCUGACUGCACUGAUCAACCUUGGCCUCACUAUCUCCUGGGCGAUGAGAUGCUACAUGCACCUGAGUUGAUGCAGCAUGAAGCACACGGCAUCACCUAUGAAUUAUUUUUACCAAAAAGGUUUAACUCUAAUCUAACCAACGUUUUAGGUCUAACUACCAGCCUGCAGGAAAUGAGGGAGAAGGGAAAUGACAUCACAAGGAAACCAUCAGACAAAUCUGGAAGGUGGGACAUUCCACAGGACAUACUGACUUUCUUCGAGUCAACGGCAUUUAAAAAAAGAAAGGUGUGUUGGAGACUCUUCUAGAUUACGAGAGACUUAUGAAGAAUAAAACCAAAUGCAAUGUGUAGACUUUGUUGGACCAUGAUUUGAACACACCAGCUGUAAAAAGACAUAUUGGGGAAAUGUUAAUAUAGGUUAAGUAUCAGAUUAUAUUAAGAAGUUGUUGAUUUUGUUAGGUGUGAUAAUGCUCUCUCUCUGACACACAGACAGGACUCAGUGACACACUCAGGCCCAGUGAGACUGAGGCAGCAGACCCGGGUGUCCGCAAGACCAAGAGCAGUCAUAACCUCCCGGGAUUUAUCUCAGCAGUGAGGACAAAACCUCUUCUAGAGGGAUAUUUCCACGUAAGAAGUGGCUGCUGAGGGUCUGAUGUCCAAAAAUUAUGGGUGGCAGGCCUGGAAUUCAUAAAAAUUUGAGUAAGUCCAACAGCUUCUUGGGAAGCGUGUGGAUUUCACUGGAGUAAAAUUGUUCUGGAGCCCCUAGGGACCCAAUAUUAGGAUUGAUUCUUCUAAAUAAAUCAAUAAAAGUAGGCUCAUGUGCUGUCCUAGCUUUCACCUGUUCUAUGUCACCGUUCAGGAAAAAACUGACCCUUCCUGUUGGCAUUUUUGGUAAAACUUCAGCUUUGGUCAGUUCUCUUUCACAGCUCCCUCCUGGUGGCCACACAGGAAAUGUGGGGAUGAGAAAAAGCCUGUGUGAGUAAUGGGAUUUCCUAUUUGGCUUUGGAAUAGACUUGUUUGUGUAUCAUAUGGAGUGAAGUUCCGGCUACCUUAAAAAAAACAACCAGUUUUGAUGGUUUGGAUUUUGUUUUUUGUUAAUUUAACUAUUCAUAGACUCCAUCUUGCUCUUCUUAAUUAUCAGCAUAAUAAAAUCAACCAGAAACUGGACAGCUGGAUCGCCACAGUUUGGAUGGCCACCUACCUAGUUGCACCGACCUUGGUCCAGGAAUGCUGCAGGAAGUAAGGUCCAUGAAUCUUUAUUUACAUCUCACUUCUCUUAUCUUGAUGCAGAACUUGCAGCCCCAGAUCCUACAUAACAUUUCUAAGUUUUGGGGAAAAGAGGAGAGAAGGGAAUUUACAUUUAUUGAGUAGCUGUUAUUAGCCAGUCAUUAUACUAUUUCACCUGUGUUCACUCAUUUAAUUGGGGAUGAAUAUAAAAUAGUAGUUAAGAGAACUGGCUCUAAAAAUGAAAUCAGAGAAAGAGAGAGAAGGGGGCAGGAAGAAGCAGGCAUGUGAAAUGUUAACAACUAUUGAAUCUAUACGGAGGGUAUACAGGUACUCUGUACUAUUCUUUCAACUUUUAAAUUUUUCACAAUUAAAAAAAAAGAAUCUCCUCAAAUAGUUAACCAUAGUUAUCAUAUGACCUAGCAUAUGCCUGAUAGAUACAUAACCAAGAGAAAUGAAAACUUAGAUCCACACACAAAAACUUGUACACAAAUGUUCAAAGCCCGAUUAUUGAUGACAGCCAAAAAACGGAAACAACUCAAAAGUCCAUCCACUGAUGAAUGGUAAGCAAAAGUGGUCUAUCCAUGCAAUGGAGUAUUGUUUGGUAAUAAAAAGGAAUGAAGUUCUGAUAUAUGCAACAAUAUGGAUAAAAUUUGAAAGUAUUAUGGUAAGCAAAAGAAGCCUAUCACCAAAACCAGAUAUUUUAUGAUUCUAUUUAUAUAAAAUGUCCAGAUUAGGCAAAUCUAUAGAAAAACAAAGUAGAUUAGUGGCUGCCUAGGGCUGGGAGCAGGAGGUUGAUAGUAGAUUGGUUGUUAAUAGGUAUGGCUUUCUUUUAGGGGGGAUAAAAGUGUUCUAAAGUUAGAUUGUGGUGAUGGUUGCAUAACUGCGAAUAUACCAAAAAUCACUGUAUUGUACACUUUAAAUGGGUGAAUUUAUAUGAUGGGGAUUAUAUCUCAAUAAAGCUGUUUAAGAGAAAGAAAAGAUAAAAGAAUGACAAGUCUGG